CAGAGGGGGCAAGCGUUAUUCGGAAUUAUUGGGCGUAAAGGGCGCGUAGGCGGCUUUUCAAGUGAUGGGUGAAAGCCCUCGGCUUAACCGAGGAACUGCCUGUCAGACUGGAAGGCUCGAGACCGGGAGAGGUGAGUGGAAUUCCCAGUGUAGCGGUGAAAUGCGUAGAUAUUGGGAGGAACACCAGUGGCGAAGGCGGCUCACUGGACCGGAACUGACGCUGAGGCGCGAAAGCGUGGGGAGCAAACAGGAUUAGAUACCCUGGUAGUCCACGCCGUAAACGAUGAGUGCUUGGUGUAGCGGGUAUCGACCCCUGCUGUGCCGAAGUCAACACAUUAAGCACUCCGCCUGGGGAGUACGGUCGCAAGACUG
rnacentral:rRNA from 1 species